rnacentral:rRNA from 1 species
CCUACGGGUGGCAGCAGUGAGGAAUAUUGGUCAAUGGACGCGAGCCUGAACCAGCCAAGUCGCGUGAAGGAUGACUGCCCUACGGGUUGUAAACUUCUUUUGUACAAGAGUAAAGGCAGACACGUGUGCCUUUCUGAAAGUACCUUAUGAAUAAGGAUCGGCUAACUCCGUGCCAGCAGCCGCGGUAAUACGGAGGAUCGGAGCGUUAUCCGGAUUUAUUGGGUUUAAAGGGAGCGUAGAUGGGUGGUUAAGUCAGUUGUGAAAUUUUGAGGCUCAACCGUAAAAUUGCAAUUGAUACUGGUAGUCUUGAGUAUAGUUGAGGUAGGCGGAAUGCGUGGUGUAGCGGUGAAAUGCUUAGAUAUCACGAAGAACUCCGAUUGCGAAGGCAGCUUACCAAGCUGCUACUGACAUUGAUGCACGAAAGUGUGGGUAGCAAACAGGAUUAGAUACCCUAGUAGUC